UUGAGAUCGUUGGUGGAGUGUUGCACGUGCUCUCGCCGACGCGGUUAUUCGUACAGGGGAAAAAAUGUGACUGUAACACCGUGUCUGUGAUGAUCUAAAAUCCAGCACGUUAGGCAGGACUGGAAACGUAUCCCUCACAAAUUCAGAUGAACCGAAGUGCCAAAUGAGAUCUUGUAACAGUUAAUAUCUGGAGAAAAUGAACUUUGCUAAACGGAUGGCAACCAUGGAACUAUAGCUCACAAAAUAAAGGUAUAACAACAAUACUAAAGAGUGUGUAAAAAAAAAAA